rnacentral:rRNA from 1 species
UACGGAGGGAGCUAGCGUUGUUCGGAAUUACUGGGCGUAAAGCGCGCGUAGGCGGCUUUGUAAGUUAGAGGUGAAAGCCCGGAGCUCAACUCCGGAACUGCCUUUAAAACUGCAUCGCUUGAAUCCAGGAGAGGUGAGUGGAAUUCUCGGUGUAGCAGUGAAAUGCGUAGAUAUCGAGAGGAACACCAGUGGCGAAGGCGAGUCCCUGGACAUCUCCUGACACUGAGGCACGAAAGCUAGGGGAGCAAACAGG